UCCACGGUCUCUGCGACGCAGCUAACGCAUUAAGUGCCCCGCCUGGGGAGUACGAUCGCAAGAUUAAAACUCAAAGGAAUUGACGGGGCCCCGCACAAGCAGCGGAGCAUGCGGCUUAAUUCGACGCAACGCGAAGAACCUUACCAAGGCUUGACAUAUACAGGAAUAUGGCAGAGAUGUCAUAGCCGCAAGGUCUGUAUACAGGUGGUGCAUGGUUGUCGUCAGCUCGUGUCGUGAGAUGUUGGGUUAAGUCCCGCAACGAGCGCAACCCUCGUUCUGUGUUGCCAGCAUUUAGUUGGGGACUCACAGGAGACUGCCGGGGUUAACUCGGAGGAAGGUGGGGAUGACGUCAAAUCAUCAUGCCCCUUAUGUCUUGGGCUGCACGCAUGCUACAAUGGCUGGUACAAACGGCUGCAAUACCGCAAGGUGGAGCGAAUCCGAGAAAGCCAGUCUCAGUUCGGAUUGGGGUCUGCAACUCGACCCCAUGAAGUCGGAGUUGCUAGUAAUCGUAGAUCAGCAACGCUACGGUGAAUACGUUCCCGGGGCUUGUACACACCGCCCGUCACGUCACGA
rnacentral:rRNA from 1 species